rnacentral:miRNA from 1 species
GUUCCAUCCCCAACACCUCACAAAGCAGUCAUAGUGGAGGAUGCCCGUAACUCCAGCACUGGGGAGGUAGAGGCAGGAGGAU